CGUUUGGAAAAUGUGUUCACGCAAAAUUUUGUACAAUUUCUCAUGAAAUUUGUAACUUCACACCACCAAAGCGUAAGUUGAAAUUUAGCAUAUUUUUUUUUACAUAUGUAUAAACCUUCUCUGACAAGUAUAUUAUUUUAAGUCGUCUUAAACAGUUGACAAACAUUUUUUUUGGUCAUUUUACAUGAACUGUUUAUCAUACCUUUUGUUCACUUAAUUCUUAAAUCCAGUGUGCUGUUUUGUAUUUCCUUUGCUUUGAUUAAGAUGUUUUCUCUUGAGAAGUAUUUAAUUUGCGGUUUUUGUUAUUGUAAACUACUCACUUCGAUUCGUGAAAAAAGGCGACUAUUUUCUACUGUAAACCACAAGCAUGUGUGCUACUGUUUUUUUACUGUAACUGAAUUAUUUUAUUACAUCUAUUAUGAACUGUGAAUUUGCUUAGACUAUUAUGACAAUCAUUGUAUAACACAAGUUGAAUAUUGAACAUUUCAUUUGACAAAAAGAAAAAAAAGAUGAUUUAAAACCAAAUAUUGUGUUUUUAGCAUUGAUACUUUAUUGUGUACUGUUAUGCUAAAUUUUUGUAAUGCUAAUUGUUAGUAAGAAUUGCUUAUUUUGUAUUUUUCAGUUUUUCACCCUCUCCGGAGGUUUGUUUAUCAAGUAAAGAAUUUGAAGUCUUAUUAGUCUUUCUUGUGAGCCAUAACAAGUGUUCUGGCAUAUAUGAAACGAAUCGCCAUCUAAAAAUUCUACAAAACAAACGACAACACGAUUUGGUUGACCGUAAUUGAAUUUACGGGUCAACAUCUGCGUCUUCAAUAUUUCCUCUAAAUGUUUUCCAUUAGUUACAAACAAUAACUGGAUUAUAUUCCAUUUGCAUGAUGUGGAAACAUACUUAUCAUAAAUGAAUUGCAUCAUAAAGACUCAG
rnacentral:lncRNA from 1 species